rnacentral:snoRNA from 11 species
AGCUGUGUGAUGAUCAACAAGGGACUUAAUACUGAUCAUGUAUGAUGUCACCUUAUAUUCUAUCUGAUGC